UAGUGGGGGACAACGUUUCGAAAGGAACGCUAAUACCGCAUACGUCCUACGGGAGAAAGCAGGGGACCUUCGGGCCUUGCGCUAUCAGAUGAGCCUAGGUCGGAUUAGCUAGUUGGUGGGGUAAUGGCUCACCAAGGCGACGAUCCGUAACUGGUCUGAGAGGAUGAUCAGUCACACUGGAACUGAGACACGGUCCAGACUCCUACGGGAGGCAGCAGUGGGGAAUAUUGGACAAUGGGCGAAAGCCUGAUCCAGCCAUGCCGCGUGUGUGAAGAAGGUCUUCGGAUUGUAAAGCACUUUAAGUUGGGAGGAAGGGCAGUAAGCUAAUACCUUGCUGUUUUGACGUUACCGACAGAAUAAGCACCGGCUAACUCUGUGCCAGCAGCCGCGGUAAUACAGAGGGUGCAAGCGUUAAUCGGAAUUACUGGGCGUAAAGCGCGCGUAGGUGGUUUGUUAAGUUGGAUGUGAAAGCCCCGGGCUCAACCUGGGAACUGCAUCCAAAACUGGCAAGCUAGAGUACGGUAGAGGGUGGUGGAAUUUCCUGUGUAGCGGUGAAAUGCGUAGAUUUAGGAAGGAACACCAGUGGCGAAGGCGACCACCUGGACUGAUACUGACACUGAGGUGCGAAAGCGUGGGGAGCAAACAGGA
rnacentral:rRNA from 1 species